AAACAUGAAAACAUAGGGUUAGCAACAAAAGCAUGAAAACUUAGGAACUCAUGAGAAAGCAAAGAAAAAAUCGAACGCAGAAGAAGGCAAAGACAAAUUAGUUUAUCAUCUAGGAUUUCUCAUAUUCAUCUUCACGGUCGAAAGUCUAAAAAUAGUCCACCAAUGCCUACAACAAAUCCAUCUCAAACUAUUGAUUUGGACAAACAUGAAGAUGGUAAUGUUCAAAAGAAAAAGAAAAAGAAAAGAAAAGUUAGAGAAGUUGGUGAUUCUAAUGAUAAUGAUUCUAAUGAUGGAGUCCAAGUAAACAAAAAUCGUAUAGUCCUAAAUCUUGGGUUUGAGAUCAUUUUACAAGAGACACUUCGGGUACUCGGGCUAAGUGUAAUUGGUGUACAAAAUCGUAUGUUGCUGAUUCACACAAAAAUGGAACCACCAACAUAUGUUGCAUCAAUGUAAAAAAAUUCUCAAGAGUGUUCUUGAUCCUACUCAAACCACUCUUAGCCUUUAAGAAGGAGGUAAAGGAACUAGUAAUGCACUUGUUGGUAUCCAUUUUGGUAUUAAACUGUGUAGACAAGCUUUAGCUAGAAUGAUAAUUGUGGAUGAGUUGCCUUUUUUGUUUGUUGAAAAUGAAGUAUUUGUUAUUUUAUGAGUGUUA